rnacentral:rRNA from 1 species
GUGGGGAAUAUUGGACAAUGGGCGCAAGCCUGAUCCAGCCAUGCCGCGUGUGUGAAGAAGGCCUUCGGGUUGUAAAGCACUUUCAGUUGGGAGGAAGGCCUGUAAGUUAAUACCUUGCAGGAUUGACGUUACCAACAGAAGAAGCACCGGCUAACUUCGUGCCAGCAGCCGCGGUAAUACGAAGGGUGCAAGCGUUAAUCGGAAUUACUGGGCGUAAAGCGCGCGUAGGUGGUUUUGUAAGUUGGAGGUGAAAUCCCCGGGCUCAACCUGGGAACUGCCUCCAAAACUGCAUGACUAGAGUACGGUAGAGGGUAGUGGAAUUUCCUGUGUAGCGGUGAAAUGCGUAGAUAUAGGAAGGAACACCAGUGGCGAAGGCGACUACCUGGACUGAUACUGACACUGAGGUGCGAAAGCGUGGGGAGCAAACAGGAUUAGAAAACCUGGUAGUCC